UUUCCGUAGGUGAACCUGCGGAAGGAUCAUUAUUGUAUAACCGAGGUGCGAGGGCUGUCGCUGACCCGAAAGGUCGUGCACGCCCGAGUGCCCUCACACACAUCCAUCUCACCCCUAUGUGCACCACCGCGUGGGUCCCCCUUUGGCUUGUUCGGAGGGGGGCUUACGUUUUCACACAAACUUUGUAUGCAGUGUAGAAUGUAUUUUUUGUUUUUGCGAUCACGCAAUCAAUACAACUUUCAACAACGGAUCUCUUGGUUCCC
rnacentral:misc_RNA from 1 species